rnacentral:rRNA from 1 species
GUACACGCUGUGACUAGCAUAUCAAUAAGCGGAGGAAAAGAAACUAACAAGGAUUCCCUCAGUAACGGCGAGUGAAGCGGGAAGAGCUCAAAUUUGAAAUCUUGAAAGGUCACCUUUCACGAAUUGUAGUUUAAAGAAGUGUUUUCUGUUACGAUCGUAAUAUAAGUUCUUUGGAAUAGGACAUCACAGAGGGUGAGAAUCCCGUCUAUGAUUGCGAUUUGUAGCUUUGUGAUACACUUUCAAAGAGUCGGGUUGUUUGGGAAUGCAGCCCAAAACGGGAGGUAAAUUUCUUCUAAGGCUAAAUAUUGGCGAGAGACCGAUAGCGAACAAGUACCGUGAGGGAAAGAUGAAAAGAACUUUGAAAAGAGAGUUAAAUAGUACGUGAAAUUGUCAAAAGGGGAGCGUUUAACACCAGUGUUGUUUUCUGAAAAUCAACCUCUGUUAGCUUUAUGCAUGUUUGUUUAGACCUAAUCAGCUAUCUUGCAUGUUCUAUUGUUUGCAGUGGUGCACUUUUCAGUUUACAGGUCAACAUCAGUUUUUUUUACCGUAAAAAAGUUAAAGAAAGGUAGCUCAUGGCUCCGGUCGUGAGUGUUAUAGUCUUUUUCCUAUGCGGUAGGAGAGACUGAGGUCUGCAGUGUAGGCUACUUGGCUAGAUACUCAGGUGCUAUGUGAUACCAUUUCAUAAACAACUUGUUGAUUAUGUUUUGUCUAUUGCAUACUCGCUUGUACUAUCAUACCUACGCUUAGGAUGUUGAGUAGCGACAUACGCAC